AGUGAACGCUGGCGGCGUGCCUAAUACAUGCAAGUCGAACGGAGUGGCGCACGGGUGCGUAAUAUAUAGCUAAUCUGCCCUACACUAGAGGACAACAGCUGGAAACGGCUGCUAAUACUCUAUAGUGUAGGAUGAGGCUAUAUUGUAUCAGCUAGUUGGUGAGGUAAUGCCUUACCAAGGGUACGACGCAUAACUGGUCUGAGAGGAUGAUGAGUCCAACUGGAAGUGAGACACGCUCCGGACUCAUACGGGAGGCAGCAGUAGUGAAUAUUGCUCAAUGGGGGAAAACCUGAAGCAGCAACGCAGCGUGGAGGGUGACCCUUUUCGGUGCGUAAACUCCUUUUGGUAGGGAAGCGGUACCUAACGAAUAAGCACCGGCUAACUCCGUGCCAGCAGCCGCGGUAAUUC
rnacentral:rRNA from 1 species